CAGCAGCAGCCGCGGUAAUACGUAGGGGGCAAGCGUUAUCCGGAAUUAUUGGGCGUAAAGAGUGCGUAGGUGGUCUACUAAGCGCGAGGUGAAAGGCAAUGGCUCAACCAUUGUUAGCCUUGCGAACUGGCAGACUUGAGUGCAAGAGAGGAAAGCGGAAUUCCUAGUGUAGCGGUGAAAUGCGCAGAUAUUAGGAGGAACACCGGCGGCGAAGGCGGCUUUCUGGAUUGUAACUGACACUGAGGCACGAAAGCGUGGGUAGCAAACAGGAUUAGAUACCCCCGUAGUCCCUGUCUCUUAUACA
rnacentral:rRNA from 1 species